UAAAGAGAUGGCUCAGUGGUUAAGAGCACUGACUGCUCUUCCAGAGAUCAUGAGUUCAAUUCCCGGCAACCACAUGGUGGCUCACAACCCUCUGUAAUGGAAUCUGAUGCCUUCUUCUGGUGCACCUGAAGAUAGCUACAGUGUACUUACAUACUGUACAUUAAAUAAAUAAAUAAAUAAAUGAUCCAAAAUGCUACUGUUAAGAAAGUGUACUCUUAGGCCGGGCAGUGGUGGCGCACACCUCUAACCCCAGCACUUGGGAGGCAGAGGCAGGCGGAUUUCUGAGUUCCAGGACAGCCAGGGCUAUAGAGAGAAACCCUGUCUCAAAAAAGAAAGAAAGAAAGAAAGAAAGAAAGAAAGAAAGAAAGAAAGAAAGAAAGAAAGAAAGAAAGAAAGAAAGAAAGAAAGAGAGAGAGAAGGCAGGAGGCUUGGAGUGGAGCUCAGUGCUAGAGCACUUAAAAGGCUGUGGGUUCAAUCCCAAAUACCACAAAAAUCUAGGAAUGUAACUGAAAAAUGGAAAGACAUAUUAGAAACUACAUUUAAAAUAUAGACAUGGAUAUGUGACUGAGUUGAUACAGUGCUUGCCUAGCCAUGGGUUCAAACCACAACAUCACAUAAGCCGGGUAUGGGUGUAAGCACAUGUGUGUUAUCCCAGUGCACUCGGGAGACAGAUGGGAACCAGAAGUUCACCCUCAUCCUUGAGCAUAGCGUGAGUAUAAGGCCAACCUGAGCUACAUAAAGACUCUAUCCCAAAGACAAAACAAAAAACAAGAAAAGAUACUGUGACUAUUCCCUGCUAUUGAUCAUGCAAUAGCCUUCCCAUGUCUUAUAUAAUGGAGUUUAUAGAAAGAGAUGGACAUAAUUGACCCAGGAAAAAAAUUUGGGGGUGAUUUGUUGUGGUUGCUACAAAUUUGAUGACUAGAAGGAUCAUUCCUUGUAAAUUGAGUGAUUCUUAAUUUCUUAUCUGCUAUUCAUGUACUUGUCUCUGCCAAAUGAAUUUACGCUGUGAUUCUUAGGAAACUAGUGUGAAGACUUGUCAAGUUGAACUGGGCAACACUCCUACUGUGUUAUCUCUAGCUGCUGGUGCCUCCCGUGGCCAGUGUUUUGUGUGUUUUCUCCUUGUUUAAGAGCAACAUUCUUGUAUGGAGAAAGGCUUGCUCUGGCUAAAAUCUGUGAAAAGCAGAUUUUCUCAUUUAAAAUAGUGUUACUUUUGUGGAAAUUUUAAAUUUAGCUUUUAUCUGAAGUGCCUUAAGUAGAUUCUUAAUUUACUUUUCUAGUACUGGUUUGAAUAUAAUUCAUUAUGUAUUUUUAAUAUACUGUUCAAAAAUGAUACAUACUAUAGCAAAGAUAACCAAAUGUCUGGCUUACUGCUUUCUGUCAAUAAACUUUUACAAUCU
rnacentral:lncRNA from 1 species